UGAAUGUAUGAUGUGGUGUACAGUUAAAAAUCUGAAAAUUGGCUAUAAUAAUAAAGUUUUCCAUUCUAAUUGCUAUGAAGGUCUGAUGUUGUGGAGAAAAAAGUUGGAGGAAAAAGUUACA